UCCUGCAGAGAAACAGUAGGGCAUCGAGACGUGAUCUUCAUGUUAAGAUCAGCGAAGACACUUUAAAGACCCGCGAGACUAAAGAGAUUGGCCACGGAGCAUCUUGCGAUGACACAGAACAUGCGAUUCUUGCAAGACACGCUUUACUUACAACCAAAUAAGAGCACGGGCAGCAACACACUCAGCCGUGUUUUGGUUUUGAGCACACACAGAUCCAGGGCUCUCAGUGCAUUUAAAGUGUAUAAGGACAAUUCGUUAUAGAUGAAAUGUGGACGACUAAGCGAAGAAGAAAGCAGCGUGGAGUAAAGAGACUCAAAAGCGUUGGAGAGACAAAAAAGAAAAAGAAUAAUCUAGGAAAAUUAGAAAGUGUAAAAAAAAAGAAAGUAAAGAUCGCAGUAGCGCAAACAAAUGGAAAUUAUUACUCGAAAAAGGGAAAAUAAUCACAACGGACCAGGUGUCAUUGAAACAAAAGCAGGAUAAAGCGAGAUCAGAAAUAAAAGACAGAGUAGAAAACAAAGUAAAAUGCCAUAAAGAGGUUAAAUAAAAAGGGGGCCAAACACAUGCAGAGCAGGUUAGAGAUAAUGAAAACUGGAAUUCAAAAGAUGUGAAA